UACGUAGGGCGCAAGCGUUAUCCGGAAUUAUUGGGCGUAAAGAGCUCGUAGGCGGUUUGUCGCGUCUGCCGUGAAAACCCGGGGCUCAACUCCGGGCCUGCAGUCGAUACGGGCUGGCUUGAGUGCGGUAGGGGAGACUGGAAUUCCUGGUGUAGCGGUGAAAUGCGCAGAUAUCAGGAGGAACACCCGUGGCGAAGGCAGGUCUCUGGGCCGCAACUGACGCUGAGGAGCGAAAGCAUGGGGAGCGAACAGG
rnacentral:rRNA from 1 species